rnacentral:rRNA from 1 species
UACAGAGGGUGCGGGCGUUAAUCGGAAUUACUGGGCGUAAGGCGCGCGUAGGCGGCUUUGCAAGUCGGGUGUGAAAUCCCCAGGCUUAGCCUGGGAACUGCAUUCGAGACUGCAUUGCUAGAGUAUGGGAGAGGGAAGUGGAAUUUCCGGUGUAGCGGUGAAAUGCGUAGAUAUCGGAAGGAACAUCAGUGGCGAAAGCGACUUCCUGGACCAAUACUGACGCUCAUGUGCGAAAGCGUGGGGAGCAAACAGG